rfam:Chryseobacterium sp. MOF25P AB670_contig000275, whole genome shotgun sequence.
GGAUUGGCACACACGAAUUGAUCCGCAGAUGUCCGAAUGGGGCAACCCGUCUGGUUGAAGACCAGUCACUCCGCAAGGAGAGCAAACCAGGAGAACUGAAACAUCUAAGUACCCUGAGGAAAAGAAAUCGAAGAGAUUCCGUAAGUAGUGGCGAGCGAACGCGGAUUAGCCCAAAAGCUUUUAUAUGUUUAAUAGAAUGUUCUGGAAAGAACAGCCAUAGAGGGUGAUAGCCCCGUAUAUGAAAGGCAUAUUUAAGUGAUAAAUGAGUAGGGCGGGACACGUGAAAUCCUGUUUGAAUAUGGGGGGACCAUCCUCCAAGGCUAAAUACUCCUGAAAGACCGAUA